GACGAACGCUGGCGGCGUGCCUAAUACAUGCAAGUAGAACGCUGAAGAGAGGAGCUUGCUCUUCUUGGAUGAGUUGCGAACGGGUGAGUAACGCGUAGGUAACCUGCCUUGUAGCGGGGGAUAACUAUUGGAAACGAUAGCUAAUACCGCAUAACAAUGGAUGACACAUGUCAUUUAUUUGAAAGGGGCAAUUGCUCCACUACAAGAUGGACCUGCGUUGUAUUAGCUAGUAGGUGAGGUAAUGGCUCACCUAGGCGACGAUACAUAGCCGACCUGAGAGGGUGAUCGGCCACACUGGGACUGGGACACGGCCCAGACUCCUACGGGAGGCAGCAGUAGGGAAUCUUCGGCAAUGGGGGCAACCCUGACCGAGCAACGCCGCGUGAGUGAAGAAGGGUUUCGGAUCGUAAAGUUCUGUUGUAAGUCAAGAACGGGUGUGAGAGUGGAAAGUUCACACUGUGACGGUAGCUUACCAGAAAGGGACGGCUAACUACGUG
rnacentral:rRNA from 1 species